GGAUGUUGCGUCACUCAGGGGUUAAGGGAAACUGCGCGCGCAGAGACAGUAAGGAGCGGGCGGAGGUCUAGCCAGGUGUACGCGUUUGCGUUUCGCCGGCCGGAAGGGUAGCUGUGUGGUUGAGGUGACCAGGGACUGAGCAUUUCAGAUCUGCUUGGUAAACCUGGUGCACCACCAUGCUGGCUGCAAGACUUGUGUGUCUCCGGACACUCCCUUCCAGGGUUUUCCAACCAGCUUUCACCAAGGCCUCCCCAAUUGUGAAGAAUUCCAUCACGAAGAAUCAAUGGCUCUUAACACCCAGCCAGCAAUAUGCCACCAAGACAAGAGUUGGGAUCCGGCGUGGGAAAACUGGCCAAGAACUUAAGGAGGCAGCAAUGGAACCGUCAGUGGAAAAAAUAUUUAAAAUUGAUCAGAUGGGAAGAUGGUUUAUUGCUGGAGGGGCUGCUGUUGGUCUUGGAGCAUUGUGCUACUAUGGCUUGGGAAUGUCUAAUGAGAUUGGAGCUAUUGAAAAGGCUGUAAUUUGGCCUCAGUAUGUGAAGGAUAGAAUUCAUUCUACCUAUAUGUACUUAGCAGGGAGUAUUGGCUUAACAGCUUUGUCCGCCCUCGCAGUGAGCAGAACUCCUGUUCUCAUGAACUUCAUGAUGAGAGGCUCUUGGGUGGUAAGUCAGCUUGUUUUUGUUUUCCU